rnacentral:misc_RNA from 1 species
UGCACUGUGACCUUGAAG